rnacentral:rRNA from 1 species
AGAGUUUGAUCCUGGCUCAGAACGUACGCUGGCGGCGUGCUUAACACAUGCAAGUCGAACGCGAAAGUUUCUCUUCGGAGAAGCGAGUAGAGUGGCAGACGGGUGAGUAACACGUGGGUAAUCUGCCCCUAGGCGAGGGAUAACCACUGGAAACGGUGGCUAAUACCUCAUAAGACCACAUCCUUUCGGGGAGGUGGUAAAAGUCUUCGGACACCAAGGGAGGAGCCCGCGGUCGAUUAGCUAGUUGGUGGGGUAACGGCCCACCAAGGCAACGAUCGAUAGCUGGUCUGAGAGGAUGAUCAGCCACACUGGUACUUAGACACGGACCAGACUCCUACGGGAGGCAGCAGUGGGGAAUAUUGCGCAAUGGACGCAAGUCUGACGCAGCAACGCCGCGUGGGUGAUGAAGGCCUUAGGGUCGUAAAGCCCUGUCAGAUGGGAAGAAACCUGCAUAGCAGCUGACGGUACCAUCAAAGGAAGCACCGGCUAACUCCGUGCCAGCAGCCGCGGUAAUACGGAGGGUGCAAGCGUUGUUCGGAAUCACUGGGCGUAAAGGGCGCGUAGGCGGGGACUAUCAAGUCUGAUGUGAAAGCCCGGGGCUUAACCCCGGAAGUGCAUUGGAAACUGAUAGUCUUGAGUUCGGGAGAGGAAGGCAGAAUUCCAGGUGUAGGGGUGAAAUCCGUAGAGAUCUGGAGGAAAACCAGUGGCGAAGGCGGCCUUCUGGAACGUAACUGACGCUGAGGCGCGAAAGCGUGGGGAGCAAACAGGAUUAGAGACCCUGGUAGUCCACGCCGUAAACGAUGGAUGCUAGGUGUAGGGGAUAUUAAAAUCCUCUGUGCCGCAGCUAACGCGAUAAGCAUCCCGCCUGGGGAGUACGGUCGCAAGACUAAAACUCAAAGGAAUUGACGGGGGCCUGCACAAGCGGUGGAGUAUGUGGUUUAAUUCGACACAACGCGCAGAACCUUACCUGGGUUUGACAUCCUGGGACAGCUGUAGAGAUACAGUCUUCCCUUCGGGGACACGGUGACAGGUGCUGCAUGGCUGUCGUCAGCUCGUGGUCGUGAGAUGUUGGGUUAAGUCCCGCAACGAGCGCAACCCCUGUCCUAUGUUGCUAACAGAUAAUGCUGAGCACUCUUAGGAGACUGCCGGUGUCAAACCGGAGGAAGGUGGGGAUGACGUCAAGUCCUCAUGGCCCUUAUGCCCAGGGCUACACACGUACUACAAUGGCCGGUACAAAGAGCAGCCAACUCGCGAGAGUGAGCAAAUCUCAAAAAGCCGGUCUCAGUUCGGAUUGGAGUCUGCAACUCGACUCCAUGAAGGCGGAAUCGCUAGUAAUCGCGGAUCAGCAUGCCGCGGUGAAUCCGUUCCCGGGCCUUGUACACACCGCCCGUCACACCAUGAGAGUCGCUUGUACCAGAAGUGCGUAGGCCAACCCUUUGGGGAGGCAGCGUACCAAGGUGUGGGUGGUAAUUGGGGUGAAGUCGUAACAAGGUAACC